rnacentral:rRNA from 1 species
CCUACGGGAGGCAGCAGUGAGGAAUAUUGGUCAAUGGCCGGAAGCCUGAACCAGCCAAGCCGCGUGAAGGACGAAGGUGCCAAGCAUUGUAAACUUCUUUUGCCAGGGGACAAAAUCAGGCUCGAGUGCCGGACCGAGGGUACUUGAAGAAAAAGCAUCGGCUAACUCCGUGCCAGCAGCCGCGGUAAUACGGAGGAUGCGAGCGUUAUCCGGAUUUAUUGGGUUUAAAGGGUGCGUAGGCGGGGUGUUAAGUCAGCGGUAAAAUCCCGGGGCUCAACCCCGGCAAGCCGUUGAAACUGGCUGGCUAGAGAUGGCGAGAGGUAUGCGGAAUGCGCGGUGUAGCGGUGAAAUGCAUAGAUAUUGCGCAGAACUCCGAUUGCGAAGGCAGCAUACCGGCGGCGAACUGACGCUGAGGCACGAAAGCGUGGGUAUCGAACAGGAUUAGAUACCCGGGUAGUC